rnacentral:rRNA from 1 species
UAAAGUAUUUAAAUAGAAAAAAAUUUAAAGUUUUAUAGUAAAUUAGUAUUGUGAAAGAAAUUUGAAAUAUAAAUGAAAUAAAAAUUAUAUAAAAAGUAAAUUUAAUUUAUUGUAUCUUGUGUAUCAGAGUUUAUUAAAAAAUAUUUAUAUAUUUAAAUUUCUCGAAUUUAAAAGAGUUAAUUAAUUAAAAAAUUUAUUGUUUCAUAAAUAUUUUAAAUAAUUAAUUAGAAAUGAAAUGUUAUUCGUUUUUAAAUAUAUCUAGUUAUUUUAGAAAAAAAUUUAAUUUUUAAUUAAAUUUUAAAAUUAAUUAAUUUAUUAAUAAUUUUAAAAUUUAAUUUAAUAUUUUAAGGGAUAAGCUUUAAUUUAAAAUUUUAUAAUUAAAUAUUAAUUAUUUGAAAAUUUUAUAAUUUAAAUUGUUAAUAAAUUUUAAUUUAUUAUAAAUAAUUUCAUAAAAUUGAAAAUUUAAUAAAAUUUAAUUUUUUAUAAAAUAAAAUUUUUUAAUAUAAAAAAAUUAAUUAUAAUGAUAAAAUUAGUAUAUAAAGUAUGUAAUAAACAUAUUAAAUAAUAAUUAAUAAUUUAUGAAAAUUAUAUAUAAAGGAACUCGACAAAAAUUUAUGUUCACCUGUUUAUCAAAAACAUGUCUUUUUGUUAAUAAUUUAAAGUCUAAUCUGCCCACUGAUUAAAAAAAAUUGAAGGGCUGCAGUAUAUUGACUGUACAAAGGUAGCAUAAUCAUUAGUCUCUUAAUUGGUGACUUGUAUGAAGGAUUGGAUGAAAUAUAAAUUGUCUCUAUAAUAUUUAUUGAAUUUAAUUUUUUAAUUAAAAAGUUAAAAUAAAUUAAAAAGACGAGAAGACCCUAUAGAGUUUUAUAUUUAUUAAUUUUUUAAAUUUGAAUAAAUUGAAUAUUUAAUAUUUAAAUAAAUAUUUUGUUGGGGUGAUAGAAAAAUAAAAUUAACUUUUUUUAAAAAUAAACAUAAAUAAGUGAUUAAUUGAUCCAGUAAUAUUGAUUAUAAGAAAAAAUUACCUUAGGGAUAACAGCGUAAUUUUUUUUUUUAGUUCAAAUAAGAAAAAAAGUUUGCGACCUCGAUGUUGGAUUAAGAUAAAAUUUAAAUGCAAAAGUUUAAAAUUUUGAUCUGUUCGAUCAUUAAAAUCUUACAUGAUCUGAGUUCAAACCGGUGUAAGCCAGGUUGGUUUCUAUCUUUUAAAAAAUUUAAUAUUUUAGUACGAAAGGAUCAAGUAUUAUGAUUAAAUCAAAUUAGUUGAAUAUUAUUAAAAAAAAAUA